rnacentral:rRNA from 1 species
GACGAACGCUGGCGGCGUGCUUAACACAUGCAAGUCGAACGAUGAACCAGGGCUUGCCCUGGGGAUUAGUGGCGAACGGGUGAGUAACACGUGGGCAACCUGCCCCAGACACCGGGAUAACCAUUCGAAAGAGUGGCUAAUACCGGAUACGACCACUUUGGGCAUCCAACGGUGGUGGAAAGGAUUCUGGUCUGGGAUGGGCCCGCGGCCUAUCAGCUUGUUGGUGGGGUAACGGCUCACCAAGGCGACGAUCCCUAGCUGGUCUGAGAGGAUGGCCAGCCGAACUGGAACGGAGACACGGGCCAGACUCCUACGGGAGGCAGCAGUGGGGAAUAUUGCACAAUGGGCGCAAGCCUGAUGCAGCCAUGCCGCGUGUAUGAAGAAGGCCUUCGGGUUGUAAAGUACUUUCAGCGGGGAGGAAGGGAGUAAAGUUAAUACCUCUGCUCAUUGACGUUACCCGCAGAAGAAGCACCGGCUAACUCCGUGCCAGCAGCCGCGGUAA